UAAUUCUAGUCAAAAAAGGUAUACUUCUUUGAUCUCCAAAAAGUAGACCGUUUUCGAAAUAAACGCAUUUUUUUAUUAGGUUGCAUAUGAACACUUAAUCUAAAAUUUAAUUAACAACGAUAAAAUUAGAAAAGGCUGUUGAUUAUAAUAAUUGUUCAAAAUGUUUACCAUCCACUAGGACACAUUGUCUAUUUCUUUUAUUUAAAUUUUGCCUGACUCCAAACAAUGAUUCUUCUUGGGCCCUGAUGAUAUUGACUCCUUUCACAAUCUUUUGCCACAAUUCCUGACGGUUAUUUAUUUUAUUUUUAUACACAAGUGAUCAAGUAGCCCCAGAAAUAAAAAUCUAAGGGAUUAAGAUCGGGACUACGCGCAGGCCACGGAUAUCCACUACCUCUACCAAUCCAUUUAUGAGGAUAAAUUUCGUCCAAGUAAUUUCUGACUUGGAGUAAAUAAUGUGCCGGUGCACCAUCGUGCAUAUACCAAUUGUCACGUCUUAAAUUUAGGGGCAGAUCUUUAGAUCUUUCUCAGAAAUUUAGAUAACGUUCUCCAUUAAGCUUAGCUGGCAAUUCAAACAGUCCCACAAUACAAUCCCCAAAGAUACCACACCAAAUAUUUAUUGAAAACUCAUGAAAAUGGUGUUCUUGGAAAGCAUGAGGAUUUUCCAUUUAAUAGAUAUGAUUGUUACGCCAAUUAAAAACACCUCUCCUUGUGAACGUGGCUUCAUCCGUAAAUAAAAUUUUAUUACAAAAAAAUGGCGACUCAAUUGACGCUCUCUUAUAAAUUGACUGAAUUGGAGUCUUGCAGGAAAGUCUUGAGGAAGAAGAUUUUGAACUGGAGUGAAAUGAUACGGAUACAGUUUUUCUUGGCCAAUAAUUUUGGACACUGAAGAUUUCCUUACACCAGUGGCUACCUCAAUACGUCUUGUGCUGUUUUCAGGAUUUUCGAUAACACGAACCAAAAUUUCAUCUUCCAUAUCUGCUCCAAUUAUCCUUGGUCUUUCCGACGUUUUUUAAACGAAAUGAGCCCGUUUCGCCUAAUCUAUCGUACAACGCUUUAAAUGUUUGAUGAUUUGGCUGCCUUCUAUCCGGAUACAGAUCUAAAUAACGCUGCGUUGCUCUUCGACUACGAAAAUCUUCUUGAGCAUAUACACAUUGUUAAAUAAAAAAAUAAAAAAAAAUUUAGAAUUAAUAAUUAUAAUUAAUUAUUAACAAUUUAUUACAUUAAUAUUGCUUUAAUUAUACUUGGAUUAAAUGAAAUUUGAAUGGACGGAUGGGUAAUCAGGAAGGAAAAAGGAGAGUAAAGGUAUGGGAAGUGAGGGUUAGAAAAUGGGUACAAGGGAACCAAUGGAAGGAGGGAGACUUACUAUAGACUAUAGAGACAGCUCAGGGGAUCUUCUCAAAGGGAAGCCGACUAGCACUAACCACUUUGGUAGAGUGGCGUGGAUUCAACAAGAGUUUCAAUAAAAUAUAAACGCCACCUGUUUUAUCCCAGAUGGAUAAGAAAAUCCCGAUGACCAAGAAAACAGGAAAUUUCUAAAAGCACUAUACCUAUAAACCUGAAAGAAAAUCUCACAAGGAAGAACAGACAGUUUUAAGUGAAUCUAUAUUAAAAGAAAAGUUAAUAAUCAAACUAAUUAUUUUAAAAACAAGUUAUGUUGCCCUUCCUAAAUAUAGUGUCUAUAUCAAGACUAAAAUCUCAUAUUUUGUUGUUUGGGGCUAAAAGUUCGCGUGAGUACUUUCGAAAUAGACCUAUUUAUCCAGUUUACAAGAUCUAUACGGUCUAUUUCAAUAAAAUAACUAAUAUGCACCUAGUUAUUAUGAAACUAUUCGAAACAACGGUGUGGUAGUAAAAUCUAAUAAUGAGAGUGAUAACAAUGUGAUUUUGAGGUUAGUACUUAGUCUAAUAUACUACAGUAAAGCUAAUGAAUGUUGAUAGGACUUUAGUUUACUGGUUAGGUUGUUUUACUGACUGCAUGGUUCACUAUACGUCACAAACAUUGAUCCAACCUGGCUCCAAAAGGGCUGCAUGAUUGCGAUGGGGGACCUGGGUGGAUUGGUUUAACAGUGAAUGUCAAUGUAGAUGUUGUGGACAUUAUUGGAGUAGAUGAGUGGAGAUUUCUACCUCUUAUAAUAGUGGAUAAAGACCAUACCGGGGGAUAUAAAAGAAAGCCUGAAAGUGGAAGAAUACCCAGAUUGAGGAAUCGGGCCAAUAGAGUAAGUAGAUAUAAGCAUUGAUGGUUAAACUUAAUGGUAUGCGUAUACGGUAUGCGUGAGUCUACUUAUAUAAAAUUACAUGUGUAAUAUGUAGAUUAUUAUAAACCAAGAUGUCAAAUGAAAAUAUUAGGACUUACCAAUGGAAUUGGCCUUUUCUCGGGAACACAAAACUAGACACUUAAACAAAAAACCUUGAAAAAGUUGGGAUUUAACUACACCACUUAUAAUCCUACACUAUUGCAGUAUGGCAUUUAGUAUCCACAAACUAAAAUACCUAAAAGGUGAGUUUUCAACUUUUCAUUGGAGUAAAAUCGGCAAAAAUACCAAGAAACAACCUUCUUCAAAGGCUUGUUCUUCAAGACUCCUAGAGGUCAAAGAUUUUCGCGCCCGAAAUGGUUUUAGUAGGGAUAUAGGAGAAUGAGCUGGGAUCUUAUUGGCUAGGAUAUGACUUCUGACAUUAGUGAAAUCAAAACAAUUAAAAAAAAUUAAUGUUAUGAUUAAUAAUUUGAGUUUCAUCAUGAGGGUUGAAAAUUAUUGAUAUCAAAAAUAGAAUUAAUACUGAAAAGAUAACUGUUUAUUUUAUUAAUUUUAGCACCAGAAUAACUUAGAAAUUGCCUCUUAAAGUUCUAUAAUCGAGCCAUGCUUUCGCUAACAUUUUAGAUUCAUUUUAUUUUCUUAUUCUUUAUAUAUCUGACGAAAAUAAACUGUAACAAGAUACCAUAUCCCACAUCUGAGCAUUAGAAAAAUCAUUGUGACGCGGCAUUUUUAAGCGAAAAUAACACAACAAGAACACGAGCUUUAGCCAAAUUAAAGACUUCACCUUGACAGGUCGUAGUAAUGAUGUUUUCAUCCUAGGCAAAGCCUACUUUAAAAUCUCCGAUAAUAAUUUGUUCAUACGCAACCUAAUACAAAAAUGCGUUUAUUUGGAAACCGGUCUACUUUUUGGAGAUCAAAGAAGUAUACCUUUUUUGACUAGAAUGAAAUGCUGUUUUAUUAUUUUCACUCGCAAGAUGCAUACAGGUAGGUCAAAAAAGUUAUGACCAUUUUAAACACUCAAUGUUGUUGUACGUGGCGCCAUCUAGUGGUAAUGGGAAAAUAGAUAUCAUAUUCGUGUUCCUCAUCCCAAAUAAUAAGAGUACGCCAAAUUUUAGGUUAAUCUGUCCAGUGGAUUCCAAAAUAUUUCAAUAAAUGUUUGGUAAAAAAUUAGUUUUGACACCCUGUGGAAUGAAAACCAAUAACAUUUUGCUAAGCGAUAUUGAGCUCAAACGGUUUAUUUUCAUGUCAGGUAUCCUACAUUAACCUAUGUCCAAUUAAUUACGGGACACCCUGUAUAAUAAAACUUUUAAAACAACAUUUAAUAUUAAAAAAAUCAUAUUAAUAGUACACCUAAUUGCCAUAAACAUAAAAUUCAAGGUUUAAUGAUAAAGCAUAUCCUGAUAGAAUUCAUAUUGUAAUAUGCCCUAUGCAAAAGUAGUUUUUUUAAUGAGGGAAAUGUCUUAAUAGAGUGAAUUGUUGUAAAACUUAAUGGUAAAUGUUGUUGGUAAAUAAACAACUUUCAACCCUUAUAAAUUAAGGACUUUUUUACUAAGGAAGAUUUAGGAACUGGUAUAGAAAGAAACCAAGCUUGGUAAGUCUUGUAUUGAGGAUUAGGACUACAUCACAGUUUUUAAAGAUAAGUAAGACUUGGAAGUAAAGAGAUUGGGUGGUAAUUAAAAUGAUUAUCAGCUUCAGCACCCUUUGAAUAUGGGAACUAAUAGAGAAAACUUCAAACAAGUAGGAAAUACGCCUUCAAACCAAGAAGUGUUGACCACACAUAAGAGGGCAGGUAGAUGCAAGAGCAUUUCAGGAGAAAUUCUAUCAGCGCCACUAUAUUUGUUUUUUUUUGUUGUUUUCCUAAUUUCUUCCUGGUUUGUAUUAAAAAAAAUCUCAAAGGGUCUGAAGUACAAGAAAAAGCAGUAAUUAGGAUAAUUGCAAAGUUGUCAUACAGUGCAACAUGCAGAAUCCACUUUCAAAAACUCCCAUUUAUUAAAAGUGCCUGCACUUUUUUUUUAACGUUUCUUAUAUGCGAAAAACAGCGUAUGUAAAUUUAUUAGUCAUGAAACUUUACAUUCCUAUAAUGCUAGGAAAAGCUCUUUAAUACUUUUUUUUUUACUCAACACACAUUAGCUUUAUUAUUAGGGUUAUUAAAUUAUAUGAUCAUCUUCCAGACAGCAUAAUUAAGCUAGUGCAGAUAAGAAAAUUUAGAAUAAGGAUAAAUAGAAUUUUAAUUUAUCUGUCUUUAUACAUUACAAGAAUUUUUUAUUACACCACUGGAAAUUGAAUACUUACAGAAAUUGCUUUGUUUGGAGCUACCUAUCUUCCAAAGUUCAUUCAUUGUGUUAUAUAAUUUUCUUAUAUAUUCAAUGUUUUGGCCUAUUAAAUUAGAUUUUUCUCCUUUUUUUUUGUGACAAUGCUAAUGCUAGCAAUUGCUUGUGAAGCAAUUAAAAGAUUUUGAUUGAUUAAAUUAACAAAUACUCCAUUUUAACCUUGGGGCUUCAAAGUUUUAACCCUUUCAGUACGACUGACCUAUAUAUCUGCCAUAUCGAGAUUUGGCACAUAGACGACUGUCAGAUAUAUUUGACAUCGAGUUAUUCAUGCCACAUAAACCAAUGUCAUAUAUUUCCGUCAUCUUCUAAAAAUCAAUUUGCCGUACAGCCCACUGACCGAAUAUUCGUGAGCACAUAUCUUUGCUAUAUCGGAAAGUGAUUACGAUACUAGUUAUUGCGGAUUGGAUCGUGGUGAAGUUAGCCAAAUUAAGACAUUGUUUAAAAACGAUGAUAUAUUUGCCACUGACAGUGAAGAGGAGCCGUUUAUGGAUAGCGGGAGUGAAUAUCUACCAAGCGAAGUUGACACGGACGAGCAGGAGAGCGGCGAAAGUGAGGUAAAUGAAAUAAGCUUCGACGAUAGAAAUGGGCCAGAUGUUGUAAUUAAUGACAGUAAUCUUGACGCGGACAUAACAGACUAUAGAGACCUGAUUAUUACUUGGAGAAAACACGAUUUUGUUCCAAAAUUACAUGCAUUUGAUGAUAGUAAUAGUGGAGUGAAAAACGAACACCUGACAGAAGGUACACCGGAGAUUGAAUUUUUCUUAGAUCUCUUCACUGAAGAUAUUGCUCAGUAUAUAGUAGUAGAAAGUAAUAGAUAUGUAAUACAAAAAAAUGAGAAGAAUUGGAAACAAUUAAACUUGGGAGAAUUUUUUACUUUUAUUGCAUUAACUAUGCUAAUGUCUAGAAAUAAAAAAUUGGAAGUUAAAGAAUAUUGGUCAGUAGACCAAUAUUUAGUAGUACAGUAGACAAUUACUAUACACCCCUGUUUUUCGUAAGUACAUGGCAAGGGACAGAUAUUUACAAAUCCUUAAAAAUCUCCAUUUUGCAAAUAAUGAGGAGGCAGAUAAUAAUAACCGUCUGCACAAGGUCCAGUAUGUACUAGAAGAAAUCAAGCGGAGAUUUAAAUCACAAUUCUAUCCAUUCCAAAACUUGGUGAUCGAUGAGAAUAUGAUAUUGUUCAAGGGUAGGCUUAAUUUUAAGCAAUACAUAAAGACGAAACGUCAUCGUUUCGGUAUAAAGUUGUAUGUUCUAUGUGAUUACGAAAGUGGUAUUGUGUUGGAUUUCAUUGUGUAUAUUGGCAAAGACACCUACGCUGAACAAGAAAAUAUAACUGGCCUGUGCCCACGGGAAAUGUUGUGGCGAUGCUUAUGGAGUCGUAUUGAAACAACGUACACUCGCUCUACACCGACAACUUUUAUAGUAGUCCGAUACUGUCCAACUACUUAUUUGAAAUAAUGACUAACUCCUGUGGAACCGUUAGAUAUAAUAGGCUCCAUAUGCACAAAAUUGAAGAAAAACUAAAAAAAGGAGAUGUUACCUUCAGAAGUUCUGAUAUUUGUUUAGUUAUGAAGUGGAAAGAUAGAAGGGAUGUAACCAUGAUCACCACUAUGCACGAAAACAAAAUGAUAACUUUGGACAGGAUCGACCGUGCCACAAACGAGAAUGUCAAGAAACCAAUGUGUGUUGUGGAUUAUAAUAGUAAAAUGGGUGGCGGGGACCGUUCGGAUAUAUGCUCAUUAGCAGCAUUGACAGCUUGCGUAAGUCUAUAAAAUGGUACAAUAAAUUGUUUAUUCACACCCUGGACAUAUGUGUACCCAAUUCCCAUGGAAUGUUCUCUACAAAACAGCCUAUUAAAUAUCCACUUGCUAAGUUUCAACUGAACCUUAUACGUCAACUUCUGGAAAGAUACGGACAAGUGAAUAAACCCAUACCCAUGUCUGCUGAAACAAAUUCAAGAUUGUCUGAAAGGCACUUUCCAACCUUAGUACCUGCCACUGACAAGUCCAAAAGUGCUUCAAGAAGGUGCAUUGUCUGUUCCCAGAGAAGCGAGGCCAAAAGAAGCGAAGGGUGUCUAGAUAUAUGUGUAAAGACUGCGAUGUGGGAUUAUGCGUGGUUUCAUGUUUCCAAGAAUUUCACACUAAAGCCAAAUUUUGAAUAUUUGAAAUAAAUUAGUUGUUUACUUUUGAUACUGUUUUAGUUUAAGUUGUUUUUAGUUUUAAGUUGGUUUUUGGGCAGACAAUAAAUAUUAUUUAUUUA